rnacentral:rRNA from 1 species
GGGUUGUGAGGUUAAGCGACUAAGCGUACACGGUGGAUGCCCUGGCAGUCAGAGGCGAUGAAGGACGUGCUAAUCUGCGAUAAGCGUCGGUAAGGUGAUAUGAACCGUUAUAACCGGCGAUUUCCGAAUGGGGAAACCCAGUGUGAUUCGUCACACUAUCAUUAACUGAAUCCAUAGGUUAAUGAGGCGAACCGGGGGAACUGAAACAUCUAAGUACCCCGAGGAAAAGAAAUCAACCGAGAUUCCCCCAGUAGCGGCGAGCGAACGGGGAGCAGCCCAGAGCCUGAAUCAGUGUGUGUGUUAGUGGAAGCGUCUGGAAAGGCGCGCGAUACAGGGUGACAGCCCCGUACACAAAAAUGCACAUGCUGUGAGCUCGAUGAGUAGGGCGGGACACGUGGUAUCCUGUCUGAAUAUGGGGGGACCAUCCUCCAAGGCUAAAUACUCCUGACUGACCGAUAGUGAACCAGUACCGUGAGGGAAAGGCGAAAAGAACCCCGGCGAGGGGAGUGAAAAAGAACCUGAAACCGUGUACGUACAAGCAGUGGGAGCCUCUUUUAUGGGGUGACUGCGUACCUUUUGUAUAAUGGGUCAGCGACUUAUAUUCUGUAGCAAGGUUAACCGAAUAGGGGAGCCGAAGGGAAACCGAGUCUUAACUGGGCGUUAAGUUGCAGGGUAUAGACCCGAAACCCGGUGAUCUAGCCAUGGGCAGGUUGAAGGUUGGGUAACACUAACUGGAGGACCGAACCGACUAAUGUUGAAAAAUUAGCGGAUGACUUGUGGCUGGGGGUGAAAGGCCAAUCAAACCGGGAGAUAGCUGGUUCUCCCCGAAAGCUAUUUAGGUAGCGCCUCGUGAAUUCAUCUCCGGGGGUAGAGCACUGUUUCGGCAAGGGGGUCAUCCCGACUUACCAACCCGAUGCAAACUGCGAAUACCGGAGAAUGUUAUCACGGGAGACACACGGCGGGUGCUAACGUCCGUCGUGAAGAGGGAAACAACCCAGACCGCCAGCUAAGGUCCCAAAGUCAUGGUUAAGUGGGAAACGAUGUGGGAAGGCCCAGACAGCCAGGAUGUUGGCUUAGAAGCAGCCAUCAUUUAAAGAAAGCGUAAUAGCUCACUGGUCGAGUCGGCCUGCGCGGAAGAUGUAACGGGGCUAAACCAUGCACCGAAGCUGCGGCAGCGACACUGUGUGUUGUUGGGUAGGGGAGCGUUCUGUAAGCCUGUGAAGGUGUGCUGUGAGGCAUGCUGGAGGUAUCAGAAGUGCGAAUGCUGACAUAAGUAACGAUAAAGCGGGUGAAAAGCCCGCUCGCCGGAAGACCAAGGGUUCCUGUCCAACGUUAAUCGGGGCAGGGUGAGUCGACCCCUAAGGCGAGGCCGAAAGGCGUAGUCGAUGGGAAACAGGUUAAUAUUCCUGUACUUGGUGUUACUGCGAAGGGGGGACGGAGAAGGCUAUGUUGGCCGGGCGACGGUUGUCCCGGUUUAAGCGUGUAGGCUGGUUUUCCAGGCAAAUCCGGAAAAUCAAGGCUGAGGCGUGAUGACGAGGCACUACGGUGCUGAAGCAACAAAUGCCCUGCUUCCAGGAAAAGCCUCUAAGCAUCAGGUAACAUCAAAUCGUACCCCAAACCGACACAGGUGGUCAGGUAGAGAAUACCAAGGCGCUUGAGAGAACUCGGGUGAAGGAACUAGGCAAAAUGGUGCCGUAACUUCGGGAGAAGGCACGCUGAUAUGUAGGUGAAGCGACUUGCUCGUGGAGCUGAAAUCAGUCGAAGAUACCAGCUGGCUGCAACUGUUUAUUAAAAACACAGCACUGUGCAAACACGAAAGUGGACGUAUACGGUGUGACGCCUGCCCGGUGCCGGAAGGUUAAUUGAUGGGGUUAGCGCAAGCGAAGCUCUUGAUCGAAGCCCCGGUAAACGGCGGCCGUAACUAUAACGGUCCUAAGGUAGCGAAAUUCCUUGUCGGGUAAGUUCCGACCUGCACGAAUGGCGUAAUGAUGGCCAGGCUGUCUCCACCCGAGACUCAGUGAAAUUGAACUCGCUGUGAAGAUGCAGUGUACCCGCGGCAAGACGGAAAGACCCCGUGAACCUUUACUAUAGCUUGACACUGAACAUUGAGCCUUGAUGUGUAGGAUAGGUGGGAGGCUUUGAAGUGUGGACGCCAGUCUGCAUGGAGCCGACCUUGAAAUACCACCCUUUAAUGUUUGAUGUUCUAACGUUGGCCCCUAAUCGGGGUUGCGGACAGUGUCUGGUGGGUAGUUUGACUGGGGCGGUCUCCUCCUAAAGAGUAACGGAGGAGCACGAAGGUUGGCUAAUCCUGGUCGGACAUCAGGAGGUUAGUGCAAUGGCAUAAGCCAGCUUGACUGCGAGCGUGACGGCGCGAGCAGGUGCGAAAGCAGGUCAUAGUGAUCCGGUGGUUCUGAAUGGAAGGGCCAUCGCUCAACGGAUAAAAGGUACUCCGGGGAUAACAGGCUGAUACCGCCCAAGAGUUCAUAUCGACGGCGGUGUUUGGCACCUCGAUGUCGGCUCAUCACAUCCUGGGGCUGAAGUAGGUCCCAAGGGUAUGGCUGUUCGCCAUUUAAAGUGGUACGCGAGCUGGGUUUAGAACGUCGUGAGACAGUUCGGUCCCUAUCUGCCGUGGGCGCUGGAGAACUGAGGGGGGCUGCUCCUAGUACGAGAGGACCGGAGUGGACGCAUCACUGGUGUUCGGGUUGUCAUGCCAAUGGCACUGCCCGGUAGCUAAAUGCGGAAGAGAUAAGUGCUGAAAGCAUCUAAGCACGAAACUUGCCCCGAGAUGAGUUCUCCCUGACUCCUUGAGAGUCCUGAAGGAACGUUGAAGACGACGACGUUGAUAGGCCGGGUGUGUAAGCGCAGCGAUGCGUUGAGCUAACCGGUACUAAUGAACCGUGAGGCUUAACCUUACAACGCCGAAG